GACGAACGCUGGCGGCGUGCUUAACACAUGCAAGUCGAACGGAAAGGCCCUGCUUUUGUGGGGUGCUCGAGUGGCGAACGGGUGAGUAACACGUGAGUAACCUGCCCUUGACUUUGGGAUAACUUCAGGAAACUGGGGCUAAUACCGGAUAGGAGCUCCUGCUGCAUGGUGGGGGUUGGAAAGUUUCGGCGGUUGGGGAUGGACUCGCGGCUUAUCAGCUUGUUGGUGAGGUAGUGGCUUACCAAGGCUUUGACGGGUAGCCGGCCUGAGAGGGUGACCGGCGACAUUGGGACUGAGAGACGGCCCAGACUGCUACGGGAGGCAGUAGUGGGAAACAUGGCACAAUGGGCGGAAGCCUGAUGCAGCAACGCCGCGUGCGGGAUAACGGCCUUCGGGUUGUAAACCGCUGUCGCAGGUGACGAGGCGGGAGUGACGGUAAUGGGUAAAGAAGCACCGGCUAACUACGUG
rnacentral:rRNA from 1 species